UAAGGAAUAUUGGUCAAUGGACGCAAGUCUGAACCAGCCAUGCCGCGUGAAGGAUGAAGGUCCUCUGGAUUGUAAACUUCCUUUAUCUGGGACGAAAACGGGAUUUUUAUCUCAAUUGACGGUACCAGAGGAAUAAGCACCGGCUAACUCCGUGCCAGCAGCCGCGGUAAUACGGAGGGUGCGAGCGUUAUCCGGAUUUACUGGGUUUAAAGGGUGCGUAGGUGGGCUUAUAAGUCAGUGGUGAAAUCUCCGAGCUUAACUUGGAAACUGCCGUUGAUACUAUAGGUCUUGAAUUAUCUGGAGGUAAGCGGAAUAUGUCAUGUAGCGGUGAAAUGCUUAGAUAUGACAUAGAACACCAAUUGCGAAGGCAGCUUACUACAUAUAAAUUGACGCUGAGGCACGAAAGCGUGGGGAUCAAACA
rnacentral:rRNA from 1 species